AACAUACAGGCUAAAAGGCCACAAAGGGAAUCAGCCACCGGCCACUCCUAGACCCAGAACAUCCGGAAAAGGUGUUCGCACCUUUUCUGUUGUCUGAAGAGCAACGUUGAAGACCUUCCUGUGCCUCCUGACAGAAAUGAGAGCUGUUUGAAGUGGACGCCGCGGCUACCUACAAUUUGGGAGACCUGCACUGAGUUGGUAAGGCCAGACCAGCUCCUCCCCAUGGUAGUGGCAGAAGCCCUGACUCUGUGCAUUGGUUAAAAUGCCAAGAGACAGAAUAUUUG